GGCCCCGUGGUCAAGCGGUUAAGACACCGCCCUUUCACGGCGGUAACACGGGUUCGAGUCCCGUCGGGGUCACCA
rnacentral:tRNA from 1 species